rfam:Toxocara canis scaffold1256, whole genome shotgun sequence.
GCGGCAGUAGCUCAGUAGUAGAGCCCCGCUUCGCAUGAGGGGAGACCUGGGUUCGAUUCCCGGCUGCUCCC